rfam:Gossypium raimondii Chr05_contig_135, whole genome shotgun sequence.
UGUUAAAAAAUCGAUCCAUUUGUAUUGUUGAAACUAGCAUGACUGAUGAAUAACCAAAGAGUGAUACGUAUCAUGCCACAUAUAUCUCAUGUUGACGUACAAUGACCAAUUUUUAACAAUAAAAAUAAAUAGAAUUUUUAGAA